GCUACAAGUCCUUUGUUACUAUAAUUUUUCCUAUUUUAUGUCCUUGUAGGGUUGAGAAGAACAAUUUGCUCACUGAAUUGAAAACCUUCUGCUCUUCAAAAGAUGUACUUGUGUGGAAAUAAGUUUUUAAAGUCUAGAAUGCUUUGGAUAGAGUGUUUGGUCCAGCAACAACUACUCGUCAUGUUUAUGAUGUUGCUGCUCAGCAGGUUGUCAAUGGUGCCAUGCAAGGAAUUAAUGAGCGUGAUAAGUUACGUAAAGACAUUGAACAGCUGUGUAUGCAGCAAGCUGGUCCUGGUUACCUUGUUGUGGCUACUCGAAUGCAUUUUCAGAGGAAAAUAGCGAAUGGAAUGAUUGGCAAACUACUAUUUUACAAGAGCGUAAUAUUGUGGAAAAUGUCUACAGAUGGGCUUGCGGGCGCCCAACUGCAUUGCAAGAUAGGACAAGGGAUAGUGAUGAGGAUGAUCUUCAUGACAGAGAUUUUGAUGUAGCAGCUUUAGCAAAUAAUCUUAGCCAAGCAUUUAGAUACUCGAUAUAUGAUAAUGAGGAUGCUGAGGAGGGCAAUGGGGCUCUUGAUCGAGUUGAUGAGUCAUGAAGAACUUUCUUAUAUUGAAGAGUUAUAGUGAACAAUAGGAACUGAAGGAAUGAAUUGAGUGGUUGCGAAGUGUUUUCAUUGUAAUUCAGUGAGCUCAAGAAUCUCUGUGGUUCUUUCUUGAAUAAUGGGUUCAAGAAUUCAGAUCUGUUUGCUGGUUGUUUCUGUCCAAAUUUUACUUGUAGCAGCACAAACGAAUAAU